rnacentral:rRNA from 1 species
CCAGACUCCUACGGGAGGCAGCAGUGAGGAAUAUUGGUCAAUGGGCGCGAGCCUGAACCAGCCAAGUAGCGUGAAGGAUGACUGCCCUACGGGUUGUAAACUUCUUUUAUAAAGGAAUAAAGUGAGGCACGUGUGCCUUUUUGUAUGUACUUUAUGAAUAAGGAUCGGCUAACUCCGUGCCAGCAGCCGCGGUAAUACGUAGGAUCCGAGCGUUAUCUGGAUUUAUUGGGUUUAAAGGGUGCGUAGGCGGAGUGUCAAGUCAGCGGUAAAAGUGCGGGGCUCAACCCCGUCGUGCCGUUGAAACUGACGCCCUUGAGUGAGUGAGAAGUAAGCGGAAUGCGUGGUGUAGCGGUGAAAUGCAUAGAUAUCACGCAGAACGCCGAUUGCGAAGGCAGCUUACCGGCGCUCAACUGACGCUGAGGCACGAAAGUGCGGGCAUCGAACAGGAUUAGA